UCGAGAAUUUUUCACAAUGGGGGAAACCCUGAUGGAGCGACGCCGCGUGGGGGAUGAAUGGCUUCGGCCCGUAAACCCCUGUCAUUUGCGAGCAAAGCGCAUUAUUUAAAAGAUGAUGUGUUGAUAGUAGCGGAAGAGGAAGGGACGGCUAACUCUGUGCCAGCAGCCGCGGUAAUACAGAGGUCCCGAGCGUUGUUCGGAUUUACUGGGCGUAAAGGGUGCGUAGGUGGUGAGGUGUGUCGGAUGUGAAAUCUCGGAGCUCAACUGCGAAACUGCAUUGGAAACUACCUUGCUGGAGGGUUGGAGGGGGGACUGGAAUACUUGGUGUAGCAGUGAAAUGCGUAAAUAUCAAGUGGAACACCAGUGGCGAAAGCGAGUCCCUGGACAACUCCUGACACUGAGGCACGAAAGCUAGGGGAGCAAACAG
rnacentral:rRNA from 1 species